UCGAGCGGAAACGAUGAUAGCUUGCUAUCAGGCGUCGAGCGGCGGACGGGUGAGUAAUACUUAGGAAUCUACCUAGUAGUGGGGGAUAGCUCGGGGAAACUCGAAUUAAUACCGCAUACGACCUACGGGAGAAAGGGGGCAACUUGUUGCUCUCGCUAUUAGAUGAGCCUAAGUCGGAUUAGCUAGAUGGUGGGGUAAAGGCCUACCAUGGCGACGAUCUGUAGCUGGUCUGAGAGGAUGAUCAGCCACACCGGGACUGAGACACGGCCCGGACUCCUACGGGAGGCAGCAGUGGGGAAUAUUGGACAAUGGGGGCAACCCUGAUCCAGCCAUGCCGCGUGUGUGAAGAAGGCCUUUUGGUUGUAAAGCACUUUAAGCAGUGAAGAAGACUCCAUGGUUAAUACCCAUGGACGAUGACAUUAGCUGCAGAAUAAGCACCGGCUAACUCUGUGCCAGCAGCCGCGGUAAUACAGAGGGUGCAAGCGUUAAUCGGAAUUACUGGGCGUAAAGCGAGCGUAGGUGGCUUGAUAAGUCAGAUGUGAAAUCCCCGGGCUUAACCUGGGAACUGCAUCUGAUACUGUUAGGCUAGAAUAGGUGAGAGGAAGGUAGAAUUCCAGGUGUAGCGGUGAAAUGCGUAGAGAUCUGGAGGAAUACCGAUGGCGAAGGCAGCCUUCUGGCAUCAUAUUGACACUGAGGUUCGAAAGCGUGGGUAGCAAACAGGAUUAGACACCCUGGUAGUCCACGCCGUAAACGAUGUCUACUAGUCGUUGGGUCCCUUGAGGACUUAGUGACGCAGCUAACGCAAUAAGUAGACCGCCUGGGGAGUACGGCCGCAAGGUUAAAACUCAAAUGAAUUGACGGGGGGCCCGCACAAGCGGUGGAGCAUGUGGUUUAAUUCGAUGCAACGCGAAGAACCUUACCUGGUCUUGACAUAUCUAGAAUCCUGCAGAGAUGCGGGAGUGCCUUCGGGAAUUAGAA
rnacentral:rRNA from 1 species